CCAGACUCCUACGGGAGGCAGCAGUGGGGAAUAUUGGGCAAUGGGCGAAAGCCUGACCCAGCGACGCCGCGUGAGGGAAGAAGGUCUUCGGAUUGUAAACCUCUUUCAGCAGGGAAGAAGAAAGUGACGGUACCUGCAGAAGAAGUCACGGCUAACUACGUGCCAGCAGCCGCGGUAAUACGUAGGUGGCAAGCGUUGUCCGGAUUUACUGGGUGUAAAGGGCGUGUAGCCGGGUUGACAAGUCAGAUGUGAAAUCCUGCGGCUUAACCGCAGAACUGCAUUUGAAACUGUUGAUCUUGAGUACUGGAGAGGCAGACGGAAUUCCUAGUGUAGCGGUGAAAUGCGUAGAUAUUAGGAGGAACACCAGUGGCGAAGGCGGUCUGCUGGACAGCAACUGACGGUGAGGCGCGAAAGCGUGGGGAGCAAACAGGAUUAGAUACCCCUGUAAC
rnacentral:rRNA from 1 species